UACAAUAUAGCUUAACUUCAAAGCUUUGGUCUUGUAAGCCAAAAAUAAGAAAAAUUUCUUUAUUGUAA
rnacentral:tRNA from 1 species